rnacentral:rRNA from 1 species
UACGGGGGGGGCAAGCGUUGUUCGGAAUUACUGGGCGUAAAGGGCUCGUAGGCGGCCAACUAAGUCGGACGUGAAAUCCCCAGGCUCAACCUGGGAACUGCGUCCGUUACUGGAUGGCUUGAAUUCGGGAGAGGGAUGCAGAAUUCCAGGUGUAGCGGUGAAAUGCGUAGAUAUCUGGAGGAAUACCGGUGGCGAAGGCGGCAUCCUGGACCGACAUUGACGCUGAGGAGCGAAAGCUAGGGGAGCAAACGGG